rnacentral:rRNA from 1 species
GUAGGUGGCAAGCGUUAUCCGGAAUUAUUGGGCGUAAAGCGCGCGCAGGCGGUUUCUUAAGUCUGAUGUGAACGCCCACGGCUCAACCGCGGAGGGUCAUUGGAAACUGGGGAACUUGAGUGCAGAAGAGAAAAGCGGAAUUCCACGUGUAGCGGUGAAAUGCGUAGAGAUGUGGAGGAACACCAGUGGCGAAGGCGGCUUUUUGGUCUGUAACUGACGCUGAGGCGCGAAAGCGUGGGGAGCAAACAGGGAUUAGAUACCCUGGUAGUCCACGCCGUAAACGAUGAGUGCUAAGUGUUAGAGGGUUUCCGCCCCUUUAGUGCUGCAGCUAACGCAUUAAGCACUCCGCCUGGGAGUACGGUCGCAAGACUG